CUUUCCAACAAAAUUAUCAACAUGAGCUGGGAAGACAUGUAUAAGGCCCUCCAUGUAUUGCUCUGAGUUGAGAAAUCUGUCAAACCCUAAAGGAAAUCCAUCAUUUAUGGUUGCAUAGUGUAUGUCAAGGCCAGAUUUACGAGCUUCAGUGAAGAUAUCGUCUUGGGUGGUAUUGGUAGGAGCAGAUUUCGUGAUCUGAAGGUGGAUUUUUUCUGUGUUGAUGAAGGUAAUGGUGAAGCCAUUGGAUGCUAGCUUUAUUGCAAGAUGAACAAAAGGGACGACAUGUCCUUGGAGAGGGCAGGGUACCAUGAUUGCAUGAGGCUUGUCUUGUGCAUCCUCCAUCUCCGAGCCUGUGUCUUGAGAGAGAGAGAGAGAGAGAGAGA
rnacentral:misc_RNA from 1 species